rnacentral:rRNA from 1 species
GUGUCAGCCGCCGCGGUAAUACGUAGGGUGCGAGCGUUAAUCGGAAUUACUGGGCGUAAAGCGUGCGCAGGCGGUUUGUUAAGCUUGUUGUGAAAGCCCCGGGCUCAACCUGGGAAUGGCAAUGAGGACUGGCAGACUGGAGUGUGGCAGAGGGGGGUGGAAUUCCACGUGUAGCAGUGAAAUGCGUAGAGAUGUGGAGGAACACCGAUGGCGAAGGCAGCCCCCUGGGCUAACACUGACGCUCAGGCACGAAAGCGUGGGGAGCAAACAGGAUUAGAUACCCUGGUAGUCC